GCCUGAGGGAGGGCGGGAGGCCCGGAAGCCGGUUCGCUGUAGGGGAGGUGGACGUGGCGCCGGCUCAGAGCCCCGAGUUUUCUCCUGUUUCUGCGGUCCCCGCUGGCUCCCUCGCUUCUUAGGAUGAGCGGACAGCCCACAGCAAUCCCACCCGGCCGCGGUGAGGAGGAACCCACCAGCCCCCGUCAGCCCUCCCGGAGGUUCUCGGCCUCUAGAGCCCCAGGGCCCUCCGUUUCCCGAGGGCGAGAGCUCCGGGGCAUCGCGGCUGCACACUCAGAUCAGUUCUUGACCCGAGGGCGCCCUGACGCUGCCAGUAGAACUUGCUUGACAAGUAGUGGGAUUCGAUGCUUUGCCUAUUUGAGGCCCUGCGGGUUGGCCGGGGAGGUUGGAUGCCCCUAGCUAAAUGCUAGGCGGUCUUGGGCGGGAGGUCCUCCCUCGCGCAGCCGGGCUAAGGGUCGUGCGGGUGCCCCUCAGUCUGACCCCGUCCUGUGUCACAGCCCGAACCAGACGGCUUGUCUGGUGGGGUGCAGCCCCACACUGGCCUCCAUCCCAGGCUUCCCCAAACUGAUAGGAGGACGUUGAACCCUUCUGGCCAAGCAGGUGCAAGGAGACACUUAACUUCUGGAAAACCCUUCUUGGACAGUGCAGCGGCUUCCACAUCUAAGUUCCCAUCCUUGAAAUGGAGCCCGCAGAGCCAGCCCUACCUAGUCUCCGGGGCUGUCCUGAACUGAGAAAGUGAUGCAAUGUAUGGAAAACUGCUUUGAUGGGAAAUAAAGUCCUGUGUUUUGUAAGAUGUCAA